GGCAGUGGUGCCUUGACGGUUAAGGCUCUGGGUUACUGAUCAAAAGGUCGGGGGUUCAAGCCCCAGCACUGCCA